rnacentral:rRNA from 1 species
UGCCAGACUCCUACGGGAGGCAGCAGUGAGGAAUAUUGGUCAAUGGGCGAGAGCCUGAACCAGCCAAGUCGCGUGAAGGAUGACGGCCCUACGGGUUGUAAACUUCUUUUGUCAGGGAGCAAUUGGGUCCACGCGUGGGCUUAGCGAGAGUACCUGAAGAAAAAGCAUCGGCUAACUCCGUGCCAGCAGCCGCGGUAAUACGGAGGAUGCGAGCGUUAUCCGGAUUUAUUGGGUUUAAAGGGUGCGUAGGCGGGAUGCCAAGUCAGCGGUAAAAAUGCGGUGCUCAACGCCGUCGAGCCGUUGAAACUGGCGUUCUUGAGUGGGCGAGAAGUAUGCGGAAUGCGUGGUGUAGCGGUGAAAUGCAUAGAUAUCACGCAGAACUCCGAUUGCGAAGGCAGCAUACCGGCGCCCUACUGACGCUGGGGCACGAAAGCGUGGGUAUCGAACGGGAUUAGAUACCCCUGUAC